rnacentral:rRNA from 1 species
UACGUAGGGUGCGAGCGUUAAUCGGAAUUACUGGGCGUAAAGUGUGCGCAGGCGGCUGAGCAAGUCGAGUGUGAAAGCCCCGAGCUUAACUUGGGAAUUGCGCUCGAAACUACUUGGCUCGAGUGUGGCAGAGGAAGGUGGAAUUCCAGGUGUAGCGGUGAAAUGCGUAGAUAUCUGGAGGAACACCGGUGGCGAAGGCGGCAUCCUGGACCAACACUGACACUGAGGAGCGAAAGCCAGGGGAGCAAACGGG